UCUGUGUAAAAUGCGUUCUUAUUCAAGUUUUCAACUCAGUCAUUCGUUUAAGAUGCAAUCUUGUGUUAUAAGUAUUAGGCUAUCAUGAUUAUACAGUGAGCAAGCUAUAUAAAUAAGUAUUUAAUAUAAUAAAAGUGUAGAGCAACAACCGAGGGUGUAAGGUAAAGGCUGAAUAUUGUAGAUUUAUUACAAUAUGUUGCAUGUUUGAAUUAAAAUACCUGUGGAUAUGCAACUUCCCACUAAUGAAAGUUUUAUUCAAAAGGAGCACACACUCUACAAAGGCCUGACUGGAGAUUUGCCUGAUCUAUCCGUCCUUCAGAUGACAGCGGCUCGCUUCAAGAGCAGGUGAAGCAAGUUGGGACAAUGUUGAAGACAUUUGCUCGCACUGGGCAAUCAGGUGCAGAUCAAACCCUAAUGCUGCGACGUCUUGGAAUUUGGC